GACGAACCGUGCGAACGUUGUUCGGAUUCACUGGGCUUAAAGGGCGCGUAGGCGGGCUCGCAAGUCCGGGGUGAAAUCCUCCAGCUUAACUGGAGAAUUGCCUGGGAUACUGCGGGCCUCGAGGGAGGUAGGGGCGAUCGGAACUUCCGGUGGAGCGGUGAAAUGCGUAGAGAUCGGAAGGAACGCCGGUGGCGAAAGCGGAUCGCUGGGCCUCUUCUGACGCUGAUGCGCGAAAGCCAGGGGAGCGAACGGG
rnacentral:rRNA from 1 species